AAAUUGAAGAGUUUGAUCAUGGCUCAGAUUGAACGCUGGCGGCAGGCCUAACACAUGCAAGUCGGGCGGAAACGACAUCAACAAUCCUUCGGGUGCGUUUAUGGGCGUCGAGCGGCGGACGGGUGAGUAAUGCUUAGGAAGUUGCCCUAAUGAGGGGGAUAACCAUUGGAAACGAUGGCUAAUACCGCAUAAUACCUUUGGGUCAAAGCAGGGGAUCUUCGGACCUUGCG
rnacentral:rRNA from 1 species